rnacentral:rRNA from 1 species
AUUGAACGCUGGUGGCAUGCUUUACACAUGCGAGUCGAACGGUAACAGGCCUUCGGGUGCUGACGAGUGGCGAACGGGUGAGUAAUGCAUCGGAACGUGCCCAGAGGUGGGGGAUAACGCAGCGAAAGCUGUGCUAAUACCGCAUGUGAUCUGAGGAUGAAAGCGGGGGACCAGGCAGCAAUGUUUGGCCUCGCGCCUUUGGAGCGGCCGAUGUCAGAUUAGGUAGUUGGUGGGGUAAAGGCCUACCAAGCCGACGAUCUGUAGCUGGUCUGAGAGGACGACCAGCCACAAUGGGACUGAGACACGGCCAAGACUCCUACGGGAGGCAGCAGAGGGGAAUUUUGGACAAUGGGCGCAAGCCUGAUCCAGCAAUGCCGCGUGCGAGAAGAAGGCCUUGGGGUUGUAAACCGCUUUUGUACGGAACGAAAAGGCUCUGGCUAAUACCUGGGGCUGAUGACGGUACCGUAAGAAUAAGCACCGGCUAACUACGUG